rnacentral:rRNA from 1 species
GCAGUCGCCGCGGGAAUACGGAGGAUCCAAGCGUUAUCCGGAAUCAUUGGGUUUAAAGGGUCCGUAGGCGGUCUUGUAAGUCAGUGGUGAAAGCCCAUCGCUCAACGGUGGAACGGCCAUUGAUACUGCAGGACUUGAAUUAUUGGGAAGUAACUAGAAUAUGUAGUGUAGCGGUGAAAUGCUUAGAGAUUACAUGGAAUACCAAUUGCGAAGGCAGGUUACUACCAAUUGAUUGACGCUGAUGGACGAAAGCGUGGGUAGCGAACAGGAUUAGAUACCCCCGUAGUCCCUGUCUCUUAUAC